AGAGAGGGUAGCGGCAGCGACGGCCCACGAAAUCGUCUCCGCCGCACGGCAACGCGGGAGGAGGCGGCGGCGGCGGCCUCCGCGAGGCGGUCUCUCCGACGCGUCCAACGACUGAUCGCGCAAGGCGGCGACUGCGCGGCCGGGGCUGGUAGAGAUGGAUGCCUGGCGCUGCCUACGCGAUCGGUCAGCGCGGCGUCCGCCCUUCCGAGGCAGCCGUCGGUCGCGGGGGUGUAAGCUUCAGGGUCCCAGAAUCUCAGCCCGAAUUAGGUCAUCUUAUAUUCUUACUUAGUCCGGCUUGAUGCUGAAAUCCUGGAUUCAUCUCCUGGGACCUAGGCGCAGGCUGCAGGCCGCAGACGAAAAGGAGGACGGCUGAGCAUAUCAAUUUCAAGGAGCUAGGAUGGUAUAUAUAAGAUAAUUAAUGAGCACAAUGAAGUCUACGAUAUUGUGGUUGAGGAGUAGCAGUCUGAAGAUACAGUGAUACACAUCAACGAAAUUGGAAUUGCAAUUAAUCCAGGUCCCACUUGGCGCAGCUCAAUUUUCAGAAAAGCUAUCUGAAGGCAUGAUCAUGAGAGGGACUUUUUGACUGUGGAGCUAAUGACUUUCCCAUAGUAGUGUCAUCACCGUGCUCACAGCACCUGAGACAUGUGCUACUAUAGGUGCACAUACCAUCAGGAUCAUGGCUGCCCAGCAACCAAGCAUGUGGAGCAACAAAACUCCCAGGACCCGCCAUUGUUCCGAGUAAUCUACACAAACGGGCACACAUGCAGCAGUAGUGAUGUCUCCGGCUACAUGGCUUCAUCUGUACACAUCCAGCAGAUCGCCGAUGCCUCUUUGAGAAAGGCAGAGAUGAAAAUACCAAGCCUGACCCACUGCAGUUGAUCAAAGAAGAGAAAGAUGCCAUCGUCUCUUGUGGGUCGGUCGACCGAUCCACUUGUAUCCUGAUAGUCAACGUUAGCAUGCUAAGUUUGAUGUGGAGUAUUUGUAACACCCUGGCUUAUUAUUAUUUUUGUUUUUGGUUUGUAUAAUUUAAGUGUUUUGAUAUAGUAAUUUUAGUAUCAUCUUGACAGUUUAAAUAAGUUCGAGUCAACUUAUAAUCCUUUGUAUUCUAAAUAUAGUAUAUCCGGGUUUAAGACU